rnacentral:rRNA from 1 species
CAGCAGCCGCGGUAAUACGAACCGUGCGAACGUUAUUCGGAAUCACUGGGCUUAAAGCGCGCGUAGGCGGGAGGGCACGUCCGUCGCUGAAAUCCCCCGGCUCAACCGGGGAACGGGCGCGGAUACGACUCUUCUGGAGGAACGUAGGGGGACCUGGAACUUCCGGUGGAGCGGUGAAAUGCGUUGAGAUCGGAAGGAACGCCCGUGGCGAAAGCGAGGUCCUGGACGUUUACUGACGCUGAGACGCGAAAGCCAGGGGAGCGAACGGGAUUAGAUACCCCUGUAGUCCCUGUCUCUUAUC